rnacentral:rRNA from 1 species
UCAACGCUGGCGGCGUGCCUCAGACAUGCAAGUCGAACGAUUAAGACUCUCUUCGGAGAGUGUAUAAAGUGGCGCACGGGUGAGUAACACGUAAGUAAUCUACCCUCGAGUGGGGAAUAACAUCGGGAAACCGAUGCUAAUACCGCAUAACGCAGCGGCACCGCAAGGUGACAGUCGUUAAAGGAGCAAUCCGCUUGAGGAGGAGCUUGCGGCAGAUUAGCUAGUUGGUAAGGUAAUGGCUUACCAAGGCGACGAUCUGUAUCCGGCCUGAGAGGGCGGUCGGACACACUGACACUGAAUAACGGGUCAGACUCCUACGGGAGGCAGCAGUCGGGAAUUUUGGGCAAUGGGCGAAAGCCUGACCCAGCAACGCCGCGUGAGGGAUGAAGUAUUUCGGUAUGUAAACCUCGAAAGAACGGGAAGAAUAAAUGACGGUACCGUUUAUAAGCUCCGGCUAACUACGUGCCAGCAGCCGCGGUAAUACGUAGGGAGCAAGCGUUGUUCGGAUUUACUGGGCGUAAAGGGCGCGUAGGCGGCGCGGUAAGUCACUUGUGAAAUCUCUGAGCUUAACUCAGAACGGCCAAGUGAUACUGCUGUGCUAGAGUGCGGAAGAGGCAACCGGAAUUCUUGGUGUAGCGGUGAAAUGCGUAGAUAUCAAGAGGAACACCUGAGGCGAAGGCGGGUUGCUGGGCCGACACUGACGCUGAUGCGCGAAAGCCAGGGGAGCAAACGGGAUUAGAUACCCCGGUAGUCCUGGCCCUAAACGAUGAAUACUUGGUGUCUGGAGUUUUAAUGCUCCGGGUGCCGUAGCUAACGUUUUAAGUAUUCCGCCUGGGGAGUACGCUCGCAAGAGUGAAACUCAAAGGAAUUGACGGGGACCCGCACAAGCGGUGGAGCAUGUGGUUUAAUUC